rnacentral:rRNA from 1 species
UUUAAAUGUAAAAUAAAUAUACUAAAGUAGUAUUAGUUAUGUUCUUGAAAUUUAAAGAUUUUGGCGGUAUUUUAGUCUAUUUAGAGGAGCCUGUUCUAUGAUUGAUAAUCCACGAUUAAUUUUACUUAAUUUAUAUAAAUUUGUAUACCGUCGUUAUAAGAAGAUUUUAAAAGAAUUUAAAUUUUUAAUAUUUUAUAUAAAAAAGUAUAUCAGAUCAAGGUGCAGUUUAUAGUUAAGAAGAAAUGGGCUACAAUAAAUUUAUUUAAUUAAACGGAUUGAAGAAAGAAUUUGACUUUAUGAAGGUGGAUUUAAUAGUAAUAAAAUUAAUUUAAAUUUUAUGAUUUUAGCUCUAAAAUAUG